GCUGGGCCUGGUGGUGCACGCCUGUAAUCCCAGCAGCUUGGGAGGCUGAGUUAGGAUGAUUGUGAGUUCAAAGCCAGCCUCAGCAAAAUUAAGGGGCUAAGCAACUCAUUGAGAACCUGUCUCUA
rnacentral:sRNA from 1 species